GUCGAGCGGAUGAGAAGAGCUUGCUCUUCGAUUCAGCGGCGGACGGGUGAGUCCUGUUUAGGAAUCUGCCUGGUAGUGGGGGACAACGUUUCGAAACCUUCGCUAAUACCGCAUACGUCCUACGGGAGAAAGCAGGGGACCUUCGGGCCUUGCGCUAUCAGAUGAGCCUAGGUCGGAUUAGCUAGUUGGUGGGGUAAAGGCUCACCAAGGCGACGAUCCGUAACUGGUCUGAGAGGAUGAUCAGUCACACUGGAACUGAGACACGGUCCAGACUCCUACGGGAGGCAGCAGUGGGGAAUAUUGGACAAUGGGCGAAAGCCUGAUCCAGCCAUGCCGCGUGUGUGAAGAAGGUCUUCGGAUUGUAAAGCACUUUAAGUUGGGAGGAAGGGCAUUAACCUAAUACGUUAGUGUUUUGACGUUACCGACAGAAUAAGCACCGGCUAACUCUGUGCCAGCAGCCGCGGUAAUACAGAGGGUGCAAGCGUUAAUCGGAAUUACUGGGCGUAAAGCGCGCGUAGGUGGGUCGUUAAGUUGGAUGUGAAAUCCCCGGGCUCAACCUGGGAACUGCAUCCCAAACUGGCGAGCUAGAGUAUGGUAGAGGGUGGUGGAAAUUCCUGUGUAGCGGUGGAAUGGGGAGAUAUAGGAAAGAACAACCGUGGCGAAAGGGAACACCUGGACUGGUACUGGACCUGAGGUGGGGAAACGUGGGGAGGCAAAAGGAUUAAAUUACCCUGGUAGCCACCGCCCGAAACAAGGUAACUAACCCGUUGGGGGCCUUGAGACCUUUAUGGCGGCGCCUUACGCAUUAAUUUGAACGCCCGGGGGGGGACCGGCGGCAGGGGUUAAAA
rnacentral:rRNA from 1 species